UUUUAAUGAAAAAGAAAUUUUUUAAAAUUUAAUNNNNNNNNNNNNNNNNNAAUUAAUUAUAAUAAAACUGUAAAGGAAUUUUUUUAAAAAAUUAAAAGUAAAUUCAAUGUACCUUUUGCAUAAGGGAUUUUUAAAAAAAUUAAAAUUUUAAUUUUCUCGAAAUAAAUUGAUCUAAAAUAAAAUAUGUAAUUUAUGUUUCAUUAUAAAUUUUAAUUUUAUUUUAGUUGUGAAAUGCUUGUCAAAAUUUAAGAUAACUAGUUUAAAAAAAAAAUUAAAUAUUAACCUAUAAAUAAAUUUUUAUUAUUAAUUUUAUAGGUAAAAUCUUAGGGAUAAGCUGAAGAUUAAAUUUUUAAUAAUUAAAGUAAAUUUUAAUAUAAGAAAUAUAAUUGUUCUUUAUAUUGUUAUAAGUAAAUUAAAAUAAUAGUUUAUAAUAUAAUUUAUUUUUAAAUAUAAAAUAAAGAAUUUUUUUUAUUUUGAAAUAUGAAAAUAUUAGUAAAAUUAUUUAAAAUUAAAAAAAAAAAAGUUAAAAGUUAUAAAUUUAUAAAAUAAAAUAAGUUUAAAUAAUUCGGCAAAAUUUUUCUUUGACUGUUUAAUAAAAACAACUUAUUCAGAUUUUAAUUUUAUUGAAUAUAAAUCCUGCUCAAUGAUUUUUUUUAAAUUGCUGUAGUAUUUUGACUAUACAAAGGUAUUGUAAUAAGAUUUUAAUUGAAUGCUAAGAGAAUGGAAUUUCAGGGAAAAACUGUUUUAAACUUAAAAAUUAAAUUUAUUUUAAUUUGUGAAGAAACAAUUAUUUAAAUUAAGGACAAGAAGACCCUAAGAAUUUUAAAAUAAUAAAUUUAAUAUUAAAAUUAUUAUUUUUGGUUGGGGCAACUAAAAAGAUUAUAAACUUUUUAUUUAAUAAAAUGAUCCAUUAUUAAUGAUAAUUUGAUAAAAAUACUCUAGGGAUAACAGCGUAAUAAUUUUUGAUAGAACAUAUAGACAAAAUAGUUUGCGACCUCGAUGUUGGAUUAGGAUACUUUUUAAUGAAGAUGUUAAAAGAAGAAGUUUGUUCAACUUUUAAAGUCCUACAUGAUCUGAGUUUAGACCGAUGAGAAUCAGGUUGGUUUCUAUCUUAAUUAAAAUAAAUUUUUGGUUAGUACGAAAGGAAUUCCAAAACUUAAUUUAUUAAAAAAAAACUUUAUUUGCAUCAUUUUUGGAAUU
rnacentral:rRNA from 1 species